rnacentral:rRNA from 1 species
CAGAGGUGGCAAGCGUUGUUCGGAAUUACUGGGCGUAAAGGGCGCGUAGGCGGCCUUCUAAGUCGGACGUGAAAUCCCCAGGCUUAACUUGGGAACUGCGUCUGAUACUGGAAGGCUUGAGUGCGGGAGAGGGAUGUGGAAUUCCAGGUGUAGCGGUGAAAUGCGUAGAUAUCUGGAGGAACACCGGUGGCGAAGGCGGCAUCCUGGACCGACACUGACGCUGAGGCGCGAAAAGCCCAGGGGAGCAAACGGGAUUAGAUACCCCGGUAGUCCUGGCCCUAAACGAUGAGUGCUUGGUGUGGCGGGUAUCGAUCCCUGCCGUGCCGAAGCUAACGCAUUAAGCACUCCGCCUGGGGAUACGGUCGCAAGGCUG